CCGGCGGUGGUUAAAGCUGUUUUGAAAAUGGCGCCCAAUACAAAACAGGAUUGCCAUAGAAACGAGGUAGCCAUGGUGAAAUAGCACCACCAAGCGGCUAAGCAAAUAAACAAAAGACGCGAAGCUUAGGCUGUGUCUUAAAACCAGAACCACUAUCGUAUUUUUUAGAAGAAGAAAAAAAGAUACACUAUAUAGUCAAAAGUAUGUCAAGAGUAUCAAAAUUAUGUGGACGACUGGCCUUCAGUAAAGCAGUACAUAUCACAUAUUAUUACUAUACUAGCAUACUGCACCUGUUUAAGGUGUAGACUACACCUGUUUAAGUUACACCUGUGUAACUCAUUGUGACAUACUAAGUAUGGCUAAGUAGGGUAGUAUGCUGGCAUACCUAGAGGUGUAGUCUACCACAUACUAUUACUAGAGUAAUAUACUAGCAUAUUACAUCUGCUAGAGGUGUAGCUACAUUAACAAGAUGUACUAUUAGUAGGGUAGUAUCCUGGAGCACCUCUAGAGGUGUAACCUACUAUUACAUACUAUUAGUAAUGUACUAUACUAGCAUACUACACCCACUGAAGGUGUAACUCAGUGUGAUAUACUUUUAGUAAUGUAGUAUGAUGGCAUACCUAGAAGUGUAGUCUAUCACAUACUAUUAAUAUAGUACUAUACUAGCAUACUAUACCCGCUAGAGGUGUACAUAUUAUACAUACUAUGACAUACUAUUAGUAGGGUAGUAUCCUGGGGCACCUCUAGAGGUGUAACCUACUAUUACAUACUAUUACUUGAAUACUAUACCAGCAUACUACACAUACUAGGAGUGUAAAUUAAUAUGAAAUCCUAUUAGUAAGGUAGUAUCCUGGGGUACCUCUAGAGGUGUAGCCUACUAUCACAUAGCCUACUAAUAGAAAAGUACUAUACUAGCAGUUCACUGAAGCCAUAGUCUGGUAGUGUACACUAUAUUGACAUACUGUUAGUAGGGAAGUGCGUAUUGUACCUUUGAAGGUGUAGCCUACUAUCACACACUACUUAGUAGGCUAGUAUGCUUGCGUAAUUUCGGAGGUGCAGACUACAAUGACAUACUAUUUAGUAGUGUAGUAUAACAUGCUGACGAACCUGGUGUACACGACGGCACUAUGUACAAUGGACUACUUUUCGUGCAAGACUCCCGGUGCCACACCCUCCGGCACGUGCAGUCGUCGUGCAGGAGCUUGCACGCGCAGCCCAAAGCGAGGGGGAGGGGGAGAGGAGAAGGGGAAGAGGGAAACGGAGGAGGAGAAGGAGAAGGAGUGGAGGAGGGAGAUGAGCGCGCGCACUCAGCAUCAGCAACACACACACACACGCACAAAGAGGUCGGAGAGCUGGCGCGUGAAUGGGAGAUGACGGAGCGCUGCAGGACGCGUUCAAAACAGGACUGAUACACGCAUCCAUCAUACACACAGGGAGACCAGCCGUGCCACUGUGUAUGCUAUUGUGCCACAAGCAUGCCAACAACAGCAUGGACAGAGCGUCCAGACAUCAAGACUGUUCUCUAACUGCAUCCUUAUAGCUAAUAGGAAUCAGGUUUCAUAAUAUGUUCACAAUAUUGUGUACAUCUGCAUGGAUUAAUUGGGGUUUUUGACUAAGAAAUAUUUCAUUUUCUGCAUGAAACCCCAUGCAUUUUUUGCAAUGAUGUCAUGUUUGUACUGUAGGCCCACAAUAUGAACCCUAACAGGGUAUGACAUGUGUGUACAUACUGAAUUGUUGUCAUAGGUUACCAAAUGCCACUCAUGGUUGCCUAAAUAAAAGAAACUGAUUUAGACUAUAUAA